GUCUUUGUAGCUCAGCUGGAUAGAGCAACUUCCUCCUAAGAAGUAGGUCGUGCGUUCGAAUCGCACCAAGGACACCA
rnacentral:tRNA from 1 species